GGCCCCGUAGCUCAGCUGGAUAGAGNNCCCCCUCCUAAGGGGAAGGUCGCCCGUUCGAAUCGGGCCGGGGUCACCA
rnacentral:tRNA from 1 species